rnacentral:rRNA from 1 species
UACAGGGGGUGCUAGCGUUGUUCGGAAUUACUGGGCGUAAAGGGCGCGUAGGCGGUUUUGCAAGUCAGAAGUGAAAUCCUGGAGCUUAACUCCAGAACUGCUCCUGAUACUGUAAGGCUAGAGUGUAUUAGAGGAUGGCGGAAUUCCUAGUGUAGUGGUGAAAUACGUAGAUAUUAGGAAGAACACCGGCGGCGAAGGCGGCCAUCUGGGAUACAACUGACGCUGAGGCGCGAAAGCGUGGGGAUCAAACAGG